rnacentral:rRNA from 1 species
GUACAUAAUUUUAGAUAUAUUCAUUUUUUAUUUAUAAUGAGUAAUUACAUUUAAGUCCUUCUUCACACGCUUUUUCAUAGCGCCUUCCGCUUAGUAUCGUAACUCGCCUAAUCUUCUAGAUAGUCUGCACCUUGAUCUGUAAUGAAGUUAUUUACUAUAUGAUAAUAUAUUAUAUAUUAUCCGGUGACGACGGCAUACAAAAUAUUACAAGAAGUAGAUUACCUUGGUGGUUAUCAAUUAUUUGGUAAGUUCCCCUAAAAUUUAAAAUUACCGCCAUGCUAUUUGAGUUUUAACCAACUAGGUCUUAGUACUCAGUGUUUUUAUUUGAGCAUUGUAUAAAAGGGUAUCUAAUCCUUGUUUAUGGGCAAUGUUUAUAUAUAAUUAGGCUUAAUGGGGGUUAUAAAUAAUAUUUCACCAAUAUAUGUGCUGUAAGUUAAUUACACUUUCGUUUGUUCAUUACUAUAGAAGUCUGACCGCGACUGCUGGCACUUUUUAAGUCAUAGUAUAUAUAAGUGGUUUAAUCUUACUUUCGUAAGUUAAUAAAUUCUCUUGCCUGGUUUUAUCCUAAAAGUACCAUAAGUAUCCUAUUUUAUACAAACAUAUCACUAU